UACAGAGGGGCAAGCGUUGUUCGGAAUUACUGGGCGUAAAGGCGCGUAGGCGGCCUUCUAAGUCGAACGUGAAAUCCCUGGGCUCAACCCAGGAACUGCGUCCGAUACUGGGAGGCUUGAAUCCGGGAGAGGGAUGCGGAAUUCCAGGUGUAGCGGUGAAAUGCGUAGAUAUCUGGAGGAACACCGGUGGCGAAGGCGGCAUCCUGGACCGGCAUUGACGCUGAGGCGGCGAAAAGCCAGGGGAGCAAACGGG
rnacentral:rRNA from 1 species